GCUUGGUCUACUAUGUAUAAGAAGUAAUCAACUCUAAAUUAUUCGGGCUGCUGCAAUAUAUUUUUCUCCAAAUUUAAAAUAUAAAUUAUCAAUAGAACAAGUAAAAUUCAUAAGCUUUGAAUAAGAGAGAUGUAAGAUUAGAAUUUAGAGAAGAGAAGUGAGAAUAAAUAGAAGAGAUGAAGGGAGGAGGAUAGAAUAUAUAAAAAUAAAAUUAGAAAAAAAAUAACUUGUACAUUAAAAAAAAGUACACAACAUUUUAUUGGAAAGUUAAAAAGUCAUAGUCAUAACUCAUAUAUAUCACUUCAGCUGUUUGCAUUUUUUUUCCAUCCGUUUGCAUUUAUUAUUGUCUUCAUUCUAAUUUUUUUUAAUUUAAUCUUACCCAAUUAACUAAAAAAUGGGCUCCUCUAAAAUUGGGGGCCUAAGGCCAAGGACUUUUCCUUAAGCCUAACCAGCCGCCCCUAUGUCAAGAGUGUUCAAAAUAUGUUAUUUAACCACUUUGUUUAUCAUUUUACUUAUAUAUACGGUAUAAUUUUCCGACGAAGGGUGUCCAAUAUAAGGGUGGCUACGCCACUGGCUGAGUGACUAUUAAUUUUCCUAAAGACCCUGAGCUCAAGUGCAACAAUUCAUUCUGCUGAUUGGACAUACCCUCUCUGGUAGAAUGACGUUAGUGAACUUAAGAUUGCUCUUUGUGGUGGCAGAACAGUUUUGAGGUGUACCCUGCAACUUGACGCUACGGAACUCAUCCCAUGUUAGGUCGGUAAACU
rnacentral:lncRNA from 1 species